GUCUAUGGCCAUAUUGCCCUGAAUGUGCCUGAUCUCAUCUGAUCUCAGAAGCUAAGCAGGGUCGGUCUUGGUUAGUACUUGGAUGGGAGACCGCCUGGGAAUACCGUGUGCUGUAGGCU
ensembl:rRNA 5S_rRNA 5S ribosomal RNA